GUCUAUGGCCAUAACACCCUGAAUAUGUCUGACCUUGUCCGAUCUCAGAAGCUACGCAGGGUUGGGCUGGUUUGUACUAGGAUGGGAAACCAAUUCAGGGUACUCUGGGAUAGGGAAC
rfam:Erinaceus europaeus unplaced genomic scaffold scaffold00339, whole genome shotgun sequence